CUGGGGAGAGGCAGGUGGGGGAGGAGAGGGGAGAAAGGGGCGCUAGGACCGAGAGAGGGCGCGCGGGGGCCGGGAGGUCGAGAUUACAAAGAAAAGUGGGACGUGGGCUUAGGGUCCCUGAGGAAGAAAAGGACAGGACUAGGGAGAGAAUUGCCUAAUCAGAAGCAAAGGGAAAGAGAGGCGAGGGGCGAGAGGAGAGGGGAGAGGGGAGGGAGAAGAGGAGGGGUACAGGAUAAAGAGGGGGUGGAGAGGGAAGGGAGAGAAUGGGAGGCCGGAGAGGGGAGGGAGUCAGGCAGGAAGCAGGCAGCGUUAGAGAGUCCUAGCAUGGGAAUGGGACUCUGAGACAGCUGCGGAGGUUCCCUGGCCUCCAUGGAGGCACCUCCCCUCUUCUCUGCUCCUCACAGACAGCUUCCAGGAGAUUUUAGGAAUUACUCUGUUCUUAAAUGGGAGAAGCGCUAAUGCCCAAAUGCUGAGAAGGAGUAAAGCGGAGAAAACAGAGAAAAACAGUCACAAAUAGAGAGAAGUAGGCAGGAAAGGCGGGAAAGGGAACUGUCGAUAAAAGAGAGGCAAGCAGGAUGAGAAUGAGAGAAGGAAAGGGGGCUGGGGAGAGGGCCAGGACUGUCACAUCCAGCAGGGGCUCUCCCUGAGUGCCCCACACUCACCCUACUACCUUCUGUGCACAUGGAGGAUGGAGGCAACCUGAAGGUGAAUCAUAGGUAGCAUGAGAAGCCCUUGGAAAUUCAGCUACUACCUUCUAAAGGAGGAGAACAUGAAGGAGAUGAGCUGG
rnacentral:lncRNA from 1 species